AAUAUUUGACAAUGGGGGCAACCCUGAUCCAGCCAUUCCGCGCGUGUGAAGAAGGUCUUCGGAUUGUAAAGCACUUUAAGUUGGGAGGAAGGGCUCUAGGUUCAUACCCUUAAGCCUUUACGUUUCCAACCGAAUAAGCACCGGCUAACUCUGUGCCAUCAGCCGCGGUAAUACAGAGGGUGCAAGCGUUAAUCGGAAUUACUGGGCGUAAAGCGCGCGUAGGUGGUUCAGUAAGAUGGGUGUGAAAUCCCCGGGCUUAACCUGGGAACUGCUUUCAUAACUGCUGAGCUAGAGUACGGUAGAGGGUAGUGGAAUUUCCUGUGUAGCGGUGAAAUGCGUAGAUAUAGGAAGGAACACCAGUGGCGAAGGCGACUACCUGGACUGAUACUGACACUGAGGUGCGAAAGCGUGGGGAGCAAAC
rnacentral:rRNA from 1 species